GGGUUGUGAGGUUAAGCGACUAAGCGUACACGGUGGAUGCCCUGGCAGUCAGAGGCGAUGAAGGGCGUGCUAAUCUGCGAUAAGCGCCGGUAAGGUGAUAUGAACCGUUAUAACCGGCGAUACCCGAAUGGGGAAACCCAGUGUGAUUCGUCACACUAUCAUUAACUGAAUCCAUAGGUUAAUGAGGCGAACCGGGGGAACUGAAACAUCUAAGUACCCCGAGGAAAAGAAAUCAACCGAGAUUCCCCCAGUAGCGGCGAGCGAACGGGGAGGAGCCCAGAGCCUGAAUCAGCAUGUGUGUUAGUGGAAGCGUCUGGAAAGGCGCGCGAUACAGGGUGACAGCCCCGUACACAAAAGCGCAUGUGCUGUGAGCUCGAUGAGUAGGGCGGGACACGUGGUAUCCUGUCUGAAUAUGGGGGGACCAUCCUCCAAGGCUAAAUACUCCUGACUGACCGAUAGUGAACCAGUACCGUGAGGGAAAGGCGAAAAGAACCCCGGCGAGGGGAGUGAAAAAGAACCUGAAACCGUGUACGUACAAGCAGUGGGAGCACAGGUUUACCUGUGUGACUGCGUACCUUUUGUAUAAUGGGUCAGCGACUUAUAUUCUGUAGCAAGGUUAACCGAAUAGGGGAGCCGGAGGGAAACCGAGUCUUAAUUGGGCGUUAAGUUGCAGGGUAUAGACCCGAAACCCGGUGAUCUAGCCAUGGGCAGGUUGAAGGUUGGGUAACACUAACUGGAGGACCGAACCGACUAAUG
rnacentral:rRNA from 1 species